AGAGCUUUGUCCUCUGUGCCGACCGUGCCUGUAUCCUUGUCUCCGGCUGAGGAGAGUGCGAUCAGCAGACCCCCUCCCUUCCCCUCACACUCCGUCGAGUUGCUACAGCUCUCCUCAGUUGCCUCCUCUUUCUGAACAGUGUCUGAGAUGCAGUGCUACCUGGCUGCGUGCGACUCCGAUGCAGCUUCCCAUCCUGUAUUCCAUGUCCUCCUGAGGAGAGGUGACAGAAGCACUACAAGGCUUGCAAAAAUAGUCUCUCCAGGAUUGCAUCCCCACUACAAAGAAAUGGCAUCGCUGAGCAAUGCAAGCAGGGUGUGAGCAAGUGUGUGCAAGCGUGCAAGGAUACCCUCAUAUGUGUGUGUGAAUAAGCCUCAUCUACUGCACUGCCCAGGCGAUGCUAUAAGAUGCUGCUCUGCAAGUGGGUAAAAAGCCCCUCUGUUAUCGACAGCAACCGUUACACAGGCUCGGAGAGGAGGGGGAGGACAGAAAAUACAGAAGCCGGACGAGAACGAGAAAAUAAAAGAACAGAGCAAAUGCAAGUUUAAAAGAGCAACAGCUGCAGGCAUGACGACACGGUACUGAGCAUCAAAAGAAAAUCGCCAGAGGAAAAGUGAUGGAGCCACUCAAGUGAAAUGGGACAGUGGCAGAAAAUAAAAGGAGUUUACAAAAGGAGAGUCAGGAUGAGAUAGAUUAUUCUUUAUGAAGACUGAUGGACUGAAUUUCAAAUAUUCAUUCUUUAACUAGCAUUAAAGUCAGCAUGAAAA